UACGAAGGGGGGCUAGCGUUGCUCGGAAUCACUGGGCGUAAAGGGUGCGUAGGCGGGUUUUUAAGUCAGGGGUGAAAUCCUGGAGCUCAACUCCAGAACUGCCUUUGAUACUGAAGAUCUUGAGUUCGGGAGAGGUGAGUGGAACUGCGAGUGUAGAGGUGAAAUUCGUAGAUAUUCGCAAGAACACCAGUGGCGAAGGCGGCUCACUGGCCCGAUACUGACGCUGAGGCACGAAAGCGUGGGGAGCAAACAGG
rnacentral:rRNA from 1 species